ACGGAACAAAAUCCGGUCAGCGGAUCCGAAAAAUUUUCGCGAUGAAUUCGAAAACAUUGGCUGUUUGCGAAAUCAUCAAAAAUGUUUCCGAUUUUGAAAGAAUUAUUUCCGCAUUUGGAAAAAAAUGUUUGCGAUAUCGCAAACACCAAGUUUGCCGUGCCCUUUUCUGUGGCGCCCGACGCAGCCAAUGCGUUACGCUGCUGUCAAAAUCAGCAGUUCGCGCCGCUCGCGCAAACCGCUCAAACAUAAACAAACAAAAAUUGUGCAGCAGUAUUUUUUUUUUUGUUCGCCAAAUUGCGUGUGAAAUGUUUGAGCGUUUGAAAAAAUAAUAGCCUCGGCGGCCAGGGAGUGCCCCGCCGUAAGAUUUGUGUCCAUCCGGUCUAGGGCGUGGACAACGAGAAGCUGCAGCUGUUGCUGAAAAAGCUCGGCGUGAACAUGAUCCCAGGCAUCGAGGAGCUCCAGCACCGAGCAUAGCGAGAGGAAGUAAAUUACCGGAAUCCUAGCCGAGCAUCAUCUCCCAGCUAGAACCAGGCAGCUGGUCACCGGUGCCGUGACGGAGGACGACCAUGGCGUGCCGAAGCUGACGGUAAACUUCGGGGAGACGGAGUGUUACGCAAAAAGUACAGCAGUCAUCUCUCCGGUGGUUCUUCCGCCAUGUUACGCUGACAGUGAUACAAGAAACUGGGAUGCCGGUUCCAAAUUUUGAUCUGAAUAGUUCAGUCCGGAUGAAACUAAUCAGACUAAGGUUAGUGUCUAAUUUUGGCAAAGCAUUUAAACAAAACUCAACAGCUUCUUUCCAAUUCCAGCCGGCGGAACUUGCCACCCCAUCUAUACAUUUCCGACGAUGAUUGACACGGAUGUCCGGUAUCUUUGUUACUCGCUAAGCGAUUCGAGCUUGGCCGGAGCAUCGUUGGUGGAGGCCCACGGCCAUACGACUUCAACAGUAUUACCCGUUGCGUACGCCACAGCACCGACGACAACCUAUGGUAAUCGCCGUUUUAAAUAGUCGGCGCCCGAAAAUUCUGAGGCACCUGCGUUUGCAGCUCUUUUAAAGCAUUACCUAAUCGGCCGAAAUUGAGUACUCGUUCAACAGUGCGUAAAAGACUAGUCUACGGCUCGCAAUUGCACCGUGAGUUCGACAAACACCUUCACAGAUCCGACUGAUGGCGGAGAUUCUGGGAACUUGUUCCAGGCAGACGGUCUUCUAGUGGAGGUCACUCCGCUCAAGUCGAUUCUCGAGGUGAAGUUCGGCGGUCAACCUCCAGGACGAGCAGAACUUCUGGCGGUACGCGAAUCCGCUCAAGGGACGUGCAAGCUCGUUGCGCGACGCUGGAAAUUAGCCACAUCGACGACCCGAGCACGCUGCACCGGUCUCAGCACCUCUAUCCGGGUGGCACCGCCGCCAACGUCACCGAGCAUGAGAAGGACCUGUACAAUCAUUACCGAAAACAUAGUUGCCGCGGUGCAGGCCACAAAGACUUUGGCAAGUAGAGCAGCAACGAGUGCAUUUCGGCCACGCCACCUUCUUCUCCUACUGCUGGCACCGGGACUCACGUCACGGGGAGUAACAUGCCAACGGCUGCACCGACGCCCAGCAGUAACCUGCAGCCCCGCGGACAUCCAGGACGACCUUAUCAGAACAAUCGACGACUGAUAGAAUCAAAAUUCCGUAGUAAACCACUCACACAAUUGCUUUGAUUUUGUUUUGAAUUAUGAAUAAAUAAAUCAAAACAUUGAAACUUCUUCUUCUUCUUAUUUCCAUCCAAAAUUUGAAAAGCAACGGUCAAUUCAAAACAGUAAAUAUUGUAGUGGCUGCGUGCUGCGUACUUUUGGCAGGCAUGCGUUACGGCGUUACGUUUGCGAUAUCGAAAAUCACCGUUUGCGAUAUUGGAAGCAAUGCUUCCUGCUGACGGGUGUAAACGGAGGUUUGCGAUUGGUAGAGCAAAUCGGAAGCAAAGUUUGCGAUUCCGCAAACCGGAUUUUGUU